rnacentral:lncRNA from 1 species
UUAUAUUUUCUUUAUAUUUCCACAUGCUCGUUUUUUCUUGAGGAAAAAAAUUACAAAAAUAAAAAGCCCAAGCGCUCAUCGCGCUAGAGAAGUGACCUUCAGUUUGAACGCGCUGAACCAACAGAAUGAGCUGCAGGAAGGCGGAAGCACUAGCGUGCUGGGCAUUCUGGGAACUGUAGUCGGAAGUAUUUUCACCCAGGCUGGUGGAGUCCUUGUCGUCGUUCCGCUUAAACAUUCUGGGAAGUGUGGGUCAGACGUUUCAUAUAGUCGACAACACUUCCUCUUCGGGAGUACAGGGUGUGGCCCUCUCGUGUGACUCCAGACUCUGGGAAGUGAGUCGCAGGAACUUCCGCUCCAGGGAAAGUUGCGGCCAUCAUGCUGCAUGUGAGACUUGAGCCCCAGCGACGCUUCUGCGCCUCCUCAGCCUGGGUGAGGGACCAAAGAUGGUCAAGGCCCUCUGUCUUGAGGAGGAAAAGUGGCAGCCGGCGGAGGAUUAGGAUUGGAAGUGUUUGCGUUUCCCUCGACUCAGUAGAGCUUUCUAGUGUUAGGGGAGGUUCCUGAGUCCCAGGUUGGGGAAUGAGGCAGGGUCUUGCAUCAUUGGGUUUGAUGGUUUCUUGGGUCUUGUACUCCCGUAGCCCUUCUGUUGGACCCACCAAUCAGCAUUGCCGCUUCCUAGGGAAGUUUCUGUGGCGUUGGAAAUAUUGUGUAACUUGAUCGUGUUGGUAGUUACAUGUUUGUACAUAUUUGUUAAAACUCAUUGAACUAUACACUUAACAAUAGUAGACUUUAUAAUGUAUGUACAUUGCACUUCAAUAAAUGUGACUUUUUAAAAGUGUCUGGAACUUUAUUUUUUUUAAGUGGCAGGACCUCAUUACAAGUAAGUUCAGAACUAAGUUAGGACUACUAUAAUCCUG